rnacentral:lncRNA from 1 species
UUCUGUGUAUGCUUCACUGGUGUACUGAAACUUAGGUUGUGGAGCAGCUGAAAUAAUAGAAUCUCAUUUUCUGUUUUGAUGCAUGGCAAUUUAUGGCAACGUGAGAAACACCCAGUUGUACCCUAUGGUGCACUUUAAUUGGAAAAACUGUAGGGGAUGCUGUGAUAUAUUAAAUGUCUUGGAAAAUCAGCAGUUAGUUCUGAAUACAAAUUCGUGGUCACUUUUCUCAGGAAAAUAAUGCAUAACAUACAGUGCAUAACUCCAUAACACUCCUCUGGAGCUUAAAGCAUAUCCCUGCAGCUUUCUGCAAUCACCUUUCCCAGCUCUCUGCUUACCUCUGUUCACUUAAACCCAUUUCUUGGAAUUUUGUCUUUUCAUAGCUUCAUCUCCCCUCCUGGGCUGCAGGAAUAGUAACAGCUCUUUACCUCUGCUAGAAGCAUGCUUUUGUCUUUUUGUCUUCUCCUUUAACUGUUUUGCCAAAGCAAAACUGUGGAAGGGGACCUCAGUGCUUUAAGUAUACGGUGAGAAUGCAGAGAUUACAAGUUGGAAAACCAGAAAUGCAAACGACCAUCAGGAUGGAUUGCAGUCCCUGAAAUUUCAGGUCACAUUCUUUCCGUGAUGCAAUUUAAUGCACUUCAUCUGUGGGAAAUGCUGUUGAUGUCAAAGCAAAAAAUGACAUAUCCUUACUGUAAACGUCAUCUCUCUUCUGAAACCUCCUCCUGAAUCCUGCUCUGUUCUGUCUGACGUCCCCUGUUGUGUGAGGACCACGAGGAGCUGCAGCGCAGAGAGGUUGCACACAAUGUGACUGUAUCGGUGACAGGCUGAUGGGAUCAUGACUCAGUGCUGGAGAAAUGUCAGCUAAGUGGGUUGUGGCUCAAAAUAGUUGCCUGUGGCAGAAAGAAAACGUGCAAAAUUAAUUGAAAAUAAAGAUGAUACAAAUGCCACAGAGCCUGUUAGGUUUCUGUCCAAGUAUGUGAAUUGUUGCACUCAAACCCAGCAGGGUUGUGCUGGUUCUGAGUGUCACUCAGGAUCUGCCCUGAGUGUUUUUUUGCAGGUGAUGGAAGCAAGCAGUGAUUUAAAAUGUGCUUGGUAGGCUCAGUGGUUGGGUCUUAUUUUAGAUCACAGCUUUCCUCAGUACUGCACCAUUACUUCAGCUUUCUUUUUGUUUCCUUUGAGUCCAAAAAUCCUCCGUUUUGCUCUUCUGUAGUGGUUGGCUCUUAGGUCAGGGAGUGGAAGGAAAUUGCUUUUGGUAUGUAAAAAUAGAAGGCUGUUCUAGGAGGCG